rnacentral:lncRNA from 1 species
ACUUUAGGUUUUCACCUUUUCUUUGGAAAUGAUUGCAAAGGGGAUCUUAUAGGGGAAAUUCCCUGUUAGCAUUUGCUAUUUGAAUACCUGCUCUUGGGAGUGAGUAGUAAUUGUGGAUUCAGUUAGCCUUUGCUAUUUUUCAUAAAAUCUUCGAGUUGAAAGGGAUUUUAGGGGUCACCCAGUGCAGGAAUCCCCUCUACAUUUAUAACAAAUGGCCAUCCAGUACCUCCCAGGGCAGGGACUUAGUUCACUACCUACCAAGACUGACUAUUUCCUUUUUUAAUCAGGGAUUUGUUUCUUUCAUGAACCUGCCCAUUCUCAUAACAUUCACCCAUUUAUCCUAGUUCUUCCCUUUGGAGCAACACCUUCAAAGAGGACCAAUUGAAUUUUAGAGUAGCAUAGUUGCUCAAAGUUACCAGCUUCACUCUUUCUUCCAGAGUCACUGAAGGUCAGUGGCAAGACUGAAGUCAGGACAAGUAGUGAUGACCUGGGAUGCAGUGGAUGACCUUAGCAGCGCUGAUGUCUGGCCAAUCUCUACGCCUUCCAUAGAACAUGCUUCAGCCUCCUUCAUGGCCAUGGGAACAAAUUGUCCUCCUCCAUCCAUUCCACCAGGGGAAGACUUCACACACUUGAGCUCCAUGAGUCCAAGAUGAGAAGUCUCUCACGACUGUGGCUUGGCAACGAAGGAUAGCCUGAACCCGAUACAGCUGCUGUCUCAGGGCCUGGUAAGUGCAUUUAGCCCAGAGUCCUCGCUUCUUAUUUUUAGACUUAUGCUGAAGACAUUUAAAAAUAAUGAAAAAAAAAAAGUCUCCGAAGCUGUCCCAAGCCCGGAAGUCAAACAGGAUGCUGAUGUUGCUACACACCUGGAUGGUGAUUUCAGCAGGCCAGAGGCUCAGUUGCUUUAAAAACCCCAAAGCAAGAUAAGUAAACAUUUUCUAUCAAAAGCCAAAGACCAAGCAGGCGAUGCUAGUUCCUUUUGCACCUUAACCAUGAGAGUUGACUAGGCAAGGCAGGUGGCUGAGGCGCCACGAGACCAGAAGCUAUGGGUGAUCUGGGAAAAGUUCCCCCAGACCACCAGCCCAAGAGCCAGAACUACAAAUAUAGCUGUGGACUUGGCUGAUAAAAACUGUAGUCACAAAGCCAGAAAUGAUCUGCAACUGAAUUAGGAUGGUCUGCCUGAGAGGCCCAGGAUGAAUCAUUUCAGCCUCAUUGUGGAAGGGAGAAUAAAUUAGAUUAUAAACUCCUCGAGGGAAACA